UGUCUCUGCCUCCAUUUUUUUGGAGAGUUUCAUCACUUAAUUGUCAACAGUUCCUGUCCUGCAUUUUUGGCUCACAUGGGGAGGAGGAGACCCAAAAGCCAGCGAGCUCUCGGUAGGUAGAAACCGCGUGGAAAAGUACAUCAAAAUAAUAGGGAAUAGCUGCUGAUACAAAAGAAAUCUCCAGACUGGCGAUGCUGCGGGCUCCUGAAGCUGUCCCCAGAGUCCUGUUUCUACAACACGGAUUCCCAUCUACUCUAAAUUGAUGAAGAGUAAAUACCGAGACCAUUUCACUGCACCAGCGGGGUCAGAGUGCAGGAUUUGAACAGCCUCAAGGUUCCAACGCGUGGCUCCUCUCUGCAGUGACAUCUUUACCACCCGUAAAGAGGGGAGCAUCAAAGAGUGCCUAAACGCGGGGCCGGGCUGAUGGUUGGGGUGGGUGCUCCUCUGCUUUGCUUUUUGCAGUUGAUGCUGAGAAUAAGUGUGUUUGUACCUUCGGUAUGGUCCUUGUUCACUGCUGGCUCUCCUGGAGCAGCACACAUCAGGGAGUGCUCUGAUCUAACUAGUGCAGAUCUCAGAAGGGAAUUGCAAACUGUCUUUCUAUGGCUUUAAUUCUCACAAUAGUUAAACACAGACUGAAAUCUCUGUUAGAGAGGGAUUUUUUCUUUCCUAUUCUUGCCCACUUCUACCAACAGAAACAGCCUCACACAGUACCCAGUUAUCCCUUGCAUACCCAACCCAUCACAUUCUAGGUACUAUAUGAAACAUUAACUAUUAUACCAAAGCUAAAACACACUAAAGUUCAACUUUGCAGGCCCUGCCAGUCAUCUCUUUGCAAAGAUCCGUAUUUUAAUGAACCAUAAUGUGCAUAAAGGCAGGAGAAGCCAGAGUUCUAAGGAUUUAAGGCAGUGACCUUCUCAUUGUGCAUCUGCAGAACCCUGAAAAAACCACGUAAUUUUUCUCCAGCAUCUCCCUAUUUGCAGAUGAUUGAACUUUAUGAUCAUAUAGAAGUGUUGGAUAGGCUAUAUAUUGAAGUGUGGAUUCCAGAUGUCUGUUCUAGCAAGUGCAUUAUGAAUCCACAAUCCUGAAGAGAUUUACACAUAUGUUCACCUUUCUGCCAAGACUACUCCAUCUCAAAAUCAAAUGCAUGUGUACAUCUGCAAGUUUGAGGCUGCAGGACUUGUACAAGAUGAAUGGAUGUUACUAGAGAAUCAUCAGAUAAGAAGCACAUCAUCCAUUCCACAAAAGUCCACCAAAAAAAGCCAGAACAUAAAAGAAAAUCAACUAAUUUUUCUAAAUUCUUUUUUUUUUUGGGACAUGAACAAUCUGAGACUCUUUGUGUAUCAAAGAAACCAGGGGCUGUGUUCACCACAUACACCUGAAACACCAGAUACUCAAACAGGAAAGUAAAUAUGUGGUUUUAGAAAUACCACAUACUAAAUCUAGGUAUCUCUGAAAAUAGAAAACAUUUUAACCUUGUUUCAAGACAGAAAUGAUUCCUAUUAAACUACAGUUCAUUUUACCAUUGAAGUAAUACUGUAUAUAAUCGGUAUAUUAAUAACAAAGUCUCAAACUUAAAAGAAGUGGGGAAGAGGAGGCAGAUGUGGGUGAUGAGAAUAUCCACAGCUGUGUUACAUAGGAUAAAGCUAUUUAGAAGCAAUAUUAAACCUAAGUGCUCCAGCAUACAGGUGAAGUACUGGCAGAUGAGGGUUAUGGCUCAUUUCCCCUCCAAGCAGAUCAUGCAAAGCUUUGCAGCAGUCCCUGGAGCUGGGCCCUGUGAGGCAGGGCUUGGUAUGGGACAGUAUGGAGCUGCUGAAAGCCUGGCUUUGUUCAGUGUAAAAAAUGGGGGGAAAACCAUUUCAGGUAUCCAGAGUGUGACAAGGGAGCAGUGGUCACUGAGGAAGGGUCUGGCCUGAACUACACUGAAAGAAAAUCCACUGGCACUUAUUUUCUGGAUGUUAAUGUAGCUUAAAUUAUUGAAGAUCUAAUCAUGCCAGUGUGCUGGAUCCUGACCUUGCUAGCCUGAAAAGAGGAGCUCUCAUUUAAUUAAACUUGUACCGCAGGACUCUGCUAAAGUAAGAACUCCAGAGCUGUGCUUGGGAGGGCUGUGAAGAAAAGGGUUUAUUUCACCCUUAUUGAGCUUUCAAACAUAGUUAUUUCCUAUUGGAUAGAAUGAAGUAAUCUUAAAACAUUUUUUAAGGUGUCUUUGAUCCUGUAAGAUCUACCAUUCUAUCCAUUACUUUGGGUUAAGAUGGAAGCCUAGAUCUUUAACCGUUGUUCUAUGAAGGAAGUUAAAAAUACCAUUUUUCUAGUCAUGACACAUCAAAAUCCUUCCUCUGCAGAAACUCCCUCAACUAAACUUUAAGCUUUGCUUUCAGUGAGAUCUGGAGAGAUGUUUGCCUUGACCUCCUCACUGCUGACAAACCUUUAUUUGCCUCUUGCAACUUCUGAUGUGUUGUUUUUCAUGCAGAUCUACCAUAAUUUCCGUUCUGUGGUAAACUGAUUUGGUUUUGGUACAAUAACAGGAACAAAUGGAAGUGAUGAUUUGCAUGUGAAAUGGAAAUAUGCUUUGGAACUCUUUGCAGAGGGCAGAACCUUUGCAUGCUCAGUGCCACAUCCAUUAAUCAUACAGUACUCCGCGAACCCAUUCUUCUUAUUCAGUCCUCCUACAGAACAUACAGAAGUACAUUUUUAGCAGAAAAAAAGAACUCUGAGUAUCCUUGUGCCUGUGUACACACUUCUCGGGGCUUUCUGGAAAGAAACUUGGACUUCUGCCACCUGCUCUGAUUGUGUUCAUGCCUAAAUGAUCCAAGAAUGGGUUGACAUUACCUCUAAUUAGGGGUAAUAGCAGCCUGCUGCUGCUAGAGCCAGUUGCUUUCCUCUUGCUAUGUCCCUCAUUUCUCCUGCAUUAGGUGCAGUGUUCAUGCAGCCACGGGAUAAGUCAGUUCAAUGACCUGAUCCGGUAGAAAACUCGCCCAUUAAGAAGAAAAAAAAAAAAACAAACCCGCUUAUAUUUUUCAUUAGGUCAAUUCACUGAAGCUCUGUAGCCAUCUGAUCGGUGUCAUCUACAGGAUGAAGAGUGUGGUUGAGAUGAAGGAAGAGCGCAGGACUACACCCUUUUGGUGGCCUUCCGCAAUUGCACUGAUCAGAGGGAACAACAAAGCCCAGUCCUGAACUCCAGCCUGAUUUCAGAACUCCCUGAAGCAUUUCUAGGAGUUAAUUAAGCAUGACAGAGUCUUUUUGUUUCAGCUAACUCUAGAGUAGCAGUGCAGAGGUGUGUAAUAAUGAGUAAUUAGAGCUGGCAAGAAAACAAUUUAUCCUGUUUAGUUUGUACCUCAAAAUGGAGCUGUAAAAUGUUCUGAACAUCAAGGGGAAGAAGGGUAGCUUCUACAGCCCUAAUGGUUUAGCUGCAGAAGCCUUGAGCCUCAGCUUAUGUUCUCCUAUUUAACAAACCGAGUUUUUAUUUCUGAUAGGAAAGGAAAUGAUAUUUAUUUCAAAGCUACAAAGAUGGAAGCUGAAAGUUACACAUGGGUUGGGUUUGGAAAAGGGGGAUGGGAUGGUUUCUUUACUGAUUUUGGUAGGUCCUUUUCUGUACUGUUUCUCUGAAUGAAACAUGAACUCAACAGUUCAUCAGUGUGCAAUACUGUUGUAUCUUUCAAAGUCCUUCCUGAUAAACAGGGUCAGGACUGACGGACAGAAGAAUAGAGAGAGUGAGUUCCAAGAGUCUGUUUUAAUACAGUUCUUUAGAAAGACACUUCAGGUCCUUCUCAGAUUUAUCUCUUGCAGGUUUGUGUUUUUCUAGAGAAAUCUGAUUUUAGGGAACAGGUCAAGACGUAGGUAUUAUUUAUGCAGUAGCACUGACCCAUGAUAUUAAGAGUUCAGCAGUAAUUUUGUGCAGAAAUGAGAUGAAAUAGUGAACAAUCAGUUUUGGUUAUGUACAUAAGUAUUUUUCAUAGCUUAUGAGCAGCAAUGCAAAAUAUUUUUAAAUGUAUGAAUCCACAGAAACUAAACGACAGAGACCGAGUUUGCUUGAGAUACAGAGGAAACUACAUCACUGGGUUUCGAUGGUUAUCUCAUCUCCCAAGGAAAAUGCAGUACACAAAGGGGCUGUUAGUCACUGCUUUGCAAUGCGGUGCUCAGACUUAGCCUAAGGCAUCAGUGGGAGUCACACAAGAAGCCGACUGUGGUGAUGAGAUCUGUUUUGGGGUUGUUUUUUCAUUUAGAAUAAAAGCACACUGAACAAAGAGGAUUUAUAAUCACAGAAUCAUUUCGGUUGGAAAACACCUUUAAGCUCAUCAAGCCCAGAUGCAAACCUAACCCUGCCAAGUCCACCAUUAAAUGCUUACUCUGGACUUUCACAUAAAUGGACACUAUGCUGUCACACAUAAAAGAGAAAGAAGGUGCGAAACACUUCGUAGAGGAUCUGGCACACCAGCUUUUAAGGAGAGGCUGCAGGUCAAGCUCAUUUGUAGAAGAAUGAGUUUGACUCAUUCAUUGAGGUGUUUUAAUGCCCCCGUAGAUAAAAAUCUAACCAGGAGCUGUUUUGUAAGAAGACAACUCCAUUUAUUUCCUGAGAAGAGAAUGAGAAAUUAAAUCUAUGUGGUAAAAAACAGUAGUUUCAGGGAAUGCCUCUGAAGAGCUCCAAGUAAGAUUUUCUUCUUGGCGGCUUCAACUACAUCCCUUUUACAAGAAUGCCAUGUAAAUGAAGAGCAUUGAAACCUGUGUGGCUGUAGAUUGUCAUCACGUUUGCUGUGCAUACGUAAAUGAAUGGCCUUGCAAAUCAGAGAAGGGUGUGAAGAGAGGAACAAAGCAAAACCGUUAAAGAGAAUGUGCUGAAUUUUCCCUACUUGUAAAGCGAAAAAAGUCAACGCCAUAGAAAAUCACCCGUGCUUUUGAUUUGUAAUGGAAGCAGCACUGUGGUAUGUGACCAUCCAAAUACCUGUAAAUAGUACAAGCCUCCUUGUCAGGUGUUAUUUAUAUUGUUAAAAUUGUAUAUUUCUUACUAGAAAUGGACUGCAACAGGUUGGUUCCUUACACAUCCUUUAGCUCUCCAGACCCGGCAGUGUGCCUUGGCACCAGCACUGUGUUGUCUCACCUUUUCAGAAAUCAUCUUCAGAGCUGUGCCAUGUAUUUGCUAUGGAGUUCUGCUCUAUGCCUAAUUUUUCCACUCUGUAAAACACAAAGAAAAAAUAAAGUAUGUUUUAAAAGGCUUGCAUGAACGUGGCAAUAAAAUAAUCUUUCAACAA